rnacentral:rRNA from 1 species
AUGCAAGUCGAACGAUGAAGCCCUUCGGGGUGGAUUAGUGGCGAACGGGUGAGUAACACGUGGGCAAUCUGCCCUUCACUCUGGGACAAGCCCUGGAAACGGGGUCUAAUACCGGAUAACACUCCUGCCUGCAUGGGCGGGGGUUAAAAGCUCCGGCGGUGAAGGAUGAGCCCGCGGCCUAUCAGCUUGUUGGUGGGGUAAUGGCCUACCAAGGCGACGACGGGUAGCCGGCCUGAGAGGGCGACCGGCCACACUGGGACUGAGACACGGCCCAGACUCCUACGGGAGGCAGCAGUGGGGAAUAUUGCACAAUGGGCGAAAGCCUGAUGCAGCGACGCCGCGUGAGGGAUGACGGCCUUCGGGUUGUAAACCUCUUUCAGCAGGGAAGAAGCGAGAGUGACGGUACCUGCAGAAGAAGCGCCGGCUAACUACGUGCCAGCAGCCGCGGUAAUACGUAGGGCGCAAGCGUUGUCCGGAAUUAUUGGGCGUAAAGAGCUCGUAGGCGGCUUGUCACGUCGGAUGUGAAAGCCCGGGGCUUAACCCCGGGUCUGCAUUCGAUACGGGCUAGCUAGAGUGUGGUA